rnacentral:rRNA from 1 species
UACGUAGGGUGCGAGCGUUGUCCGGAAUUAUUGGGCGUAAAGAGCUCGUAGGCGGUCUGUCGCGUCGAUCGUGAAAACUUGGGGCUUAACCCUGAGCUUGCGGUCGAUACGGGCAUGACUGGAGUUCGGCAGGGGAGACUGGAAUUCCUGGUGUAGCGGUGAAAUGCGCAGAUAUCUGGAGGAGCACCGGUGGCGAAGGCGGCAUCCUGGACCGAGAUUGACGCUGAUGCGCGAAAGCCAGGGGAGCAAACGGG